GUCUGUGGCCAUAGCAUUCUGAAUGCACCACGCCUAGUCUUCUGAUUUCAGAAGCUAAGCAGGGUCAGUCCUGAUUAGUACUUGGAUGGGAGAACUGCUUUUGAAAAAACAUAAGUCAUAGCUA
ensembl:rRNA 5S_rRNA 5S ribosomal RNA